AUUGAACGCUGGCGGCAUGCCUUACACAUGCAAGUCGAACGGUAGCACGGGUGCUUGCACCUGGUGGCGAGUGGCGAACGGGUGAGUAAUACAUCGGAACGUACCUUAUCGUGGGGGAUAACGCAGCGAAAGCUGUGCUAAUACCGCAUACGCCCUGAGGGGGGAAAGCGGGGGAUCGCAAGACCUCGCGCGAUUAGAGCGGCCGAUGCCUGAUUAGCUUGUUGGUGGGGUAAAAGCCCACCAAGGCGACGAUCAGUAGCUGGUCUGAGAGGGCGAUCAGCAAAACUGGGACUGAGACACGGCCCAGACUCCGACGGGAGGGAGAAGUGGGGAAUUGUGGACAAUGGGGGCAACCCUGAUCCAGCAAUGCCGCGUGAGUGAAGAAGGCCUUCGGGUUGUAAAGCUCUUUUGUCAGGGAAGAAACACCGGCUCUAACACAGUCCGGGAAUGACGGUACCUGAAGAAUAAGCACCGGCUAACUACGUGCCAGCCGCCGCCGUAA
rnacentral:rRNA from 1 species